rnacentral:lncRNA from 10 species
CCUAUGGGCACAAAAAGCAGGAACGAGUAGCGGUGGCUGAAGAACGAGCAGGAGCUUGAAUUUCAGUUUUCUUAUGAGGAAUUUUCCAGAAAAGAUAUCUUCACUGUGAAAUAACUAAAUAAAUGCCCACUCAGUACAAGAUGCGGAUCUCACUAUUUGCCCAGACUGAUCUCAAACUCCUGAUUUCAAGCAAUCCUCCUGCCCCAAUCUCCUACAGUGCUGGGAUUACAGGAGUGAGUCACUGUACCUUGCCUCAUUGAGUAAUUUUUUUCUUUAUCAUAUACAAUGUCUGAAAGGAGCUGCCUUCUGUCUUUUGUCCAGUUUUAAAGUUGUUUACAGUGAAAGGAGGGCUAGCCCACACAUGUUAUUAUAUCAUGUUUGGAAGCAGAAGUCAGUUACCCUUAAAUUAGAGAUGAGGAAACUGAGGAACUGAAAGGUUAAGCAACUUGCCCCAAAUCACACAGCCGUUUACCUGUGAUGGAGCUUGAAUUCAAACCCAGGCAGUCUGUCUUUAGAGAUGCUCACUUAAUUAUUGUUCUGUACAGCUUCUUAGAAAAAUGGCUUUAUAUAUGUAUGUAAAAUGUUUUGUCCAGUGUAGGUAACAUAGUCAAUCCUUAAUAAAGUCUAGCUAAAUUAUUCUUUAAAAUCCUAAAGCUCAGUAUGAAUUUGUUCCUAGCCCAGUGUUUCAAAGCAAAAGUCCCAUCAUGUGAGUUGAUCUUUAUUAACACUAAUUUUUAUUACUGUCCUACUA